GAGAACUGACUUUGCCGAUAGUUUUGACAAUAUCAUCGUCAAAAUUUCAGGGCUGAGACUACAAAUAUCCCGCGAACUUGAAGUUGCAGACGCCAUGUUGUAAACAAACACCGCAGAUGCAAAACCGCGCGAAAAAAUUUUGCCGUGAGGGAUUGGGAUUGAAAGAUACGACACAGGAAUCCCAUGGUCAGACAAAGACUCUGCUUUCUAUUCCUGGUUCUCUUUUUACAGUAGUCUUUACAUGUAAAAGUGAGCUUUAUUUUAGAAAGAUGAAUCUGAAAGUGAAGAAAGAGUAAUGAAGAAGCUUGUCAGCUUGGUGGUGUACAUGUAUUUGGAGACAGUGCAUUUCUAAUACACUUUCAAGGAAUCUGCAAUUUCCCUGUAUUGACGAAUGGCUAAAACUAAACUGCUGAUGGGGUCGCCUUUAAGGACACUAACAAUGGAACUUCCUAAAACCUCUUUAAUCCACAUAUUAUGAAACAGCCAUAUUUUGAUGUUGAUCAGCCCUUCAAAGUGAUUCUUUAGAGAUGUGAAAUCAUCUUCCUUUCCUUGCAAGACAUAAUUUCUAAGACAGAAUAUAAUUCAUAAUGAGUUGCUAGAUAUUAUCAAAUAUGAAAUUAAGAGGAGAUGAAAAGUGGAAAACCAAACAAAUAAAAAAGGAAGUAGAAAUAAAGAAAACUAUGACAGAA